AUGGAGGUGGCCGCCUCGUGGCCAUGGAGGGCUCGCCAGCCGCCUCCGGAGUCCCACAUCCCCAAGAUCGACUGGAUUGCAGCCGCCUGGCCGAGGUCGUCGGCCCUCGACGGGCUGGCACUACCUCGCCUGUGCUUGCUCCCGUCCAUGCCGCCGCCACACUUCCUCUUCCACUCCGCGUACUCCUGGUUGCAGCCCCUGCUCGCCACAGGCAGGGAUCAGCGGCUCGCCGGCGUGGCGCGUGGCAGCGGAGAGAAGGGGGGCAAGAUCGGCGAGGCAGAGUUCUUCCGGAAGGACGGCGUGGUGGGCGACAUGGAGGGAUACCUCAACUACCUGUCCCUCGAGUAUGACUUCGUCUCGGACACCAAUCCUGCUUGGGGAAGGCGGGAGAGGGCGCCAUCGGCAUCUCUGUCCUCCUCUACUUGGUGGCCGCCAUGUACGCAGAAGACCAUGAGGUCGCCGGGUCCGUCGCUGGCUGACCGAAGCAGGGUACCCAGACUCUGCCGUCGGUCGCGAGCCUCGCCGUCUACCUUCACCAGCCACCCCGAACGCCGUUUGUCCGGCUGGGCGGGGAAGGAGCGACGAUUCGGAGAUGUAGCAGAGCGCUUGGCCGCAGCUGCUCUCGGCACGCGACGGCGUGCCCCGCGUCCAGAGGCUCGCCUCGGCGCCCACAUCGUCCUCCUACUACUUCUCGGUGCCGCUGACCCGGCGGGAGCCGAGGGAGGUGACGUACAUCCAGAGCGUCUGCGCGCAGAUGAUCCGGCUCUGGUGCUCCAUCCCCGCCAGGCGCAGCGCGAAAUCUGGAAGAGUUAUUUGAACAAAAUAGCCAGGGAUGCUGUCCAGCUGAUGCUUGGUAUCCACUCGAAGUUCAUCAUCCAAUGUAUUGAGGAUCUCUCGAUGAUGAUCAGCAGUAUUGCAAGUUCGGCAGAAAUAAGUGAAUACUGCAUGGGAAGGUAUGAUCUUGAUGGCCUCUAUGCUGCUAUCACGUCAGGAACUGGGGUGGAUAUUGUUAGGAAGGGCAUAUUGUUGUACAUCUAUGCCUGCCUGCACUAUGCACCAUUUCAUUCACACGGGAAGGCGUACACCUUGAAACAGACACCUGAUGGCCUGGCAAGUUCUACUCCUGAAAUCAACGUCUAUGGCUUGAUUUUUGAAAUAGACACAAUCAUGAGCCGCGACAUCCAACCAACAGACCCACGUGUGCCGACCAAACUAAGGAGACGCCGGCGCCACUUCCCCAAAUCUCCCUUCCAUUCGAGCGAGGUGAUGAGGGAAAGAACUGGUUGUGGUGAAAGUCAGUUUAGUGCAUCAAGGAUUGGAGUGAACCCUGCCUGCAACCUCACAUUCAUGUUUCUCUGCUGCGUAUGCCCGCUCCAAGAACCCGAGCUAGCCGCCUCGCCGGCGGCCCAUCCCAGUCUAUCUCGUCGCGUCUCUGCUCCCGUACCCCGCCACCCCACUGCUCCUCCGUUACCUUGUCGUAAGUCGUUUUUAUUCCCACUGGCUGGGCAUUGUGACCAUGGCCGCUCCCAUGGACUGAGCGCUAGCACGCCCGAUCUCACUCGCCGCCCAUGCCCCCACGUGCUGCAGCGAACACAUGGUUGCAAAGUCUCUUCUGCAGAAUGUGAUCGUGGAUGCAUUUACAACCUGCUUGAAAAAAUCAGGCAUGUUCAAAAGACGACCCCCUAA
rnacentral:rRNA from 1 species